rnacentral:piRNA from 1 species
UCAAUAAGUUCGAUUUGUUUU